rnacentral:rRNA from 1 species
CGGCAACAGCUCAAAUUUGAAAUCUGGCUCCUUCGGGGCCCGAGUUGUAAUUUGGAGAGGAUGCUUUUGGGUGUCAGCCGGUCUAAGUUCCUUGGAACAGGACGUCACAGAGGGUGAGAAUCCCGUACGUGGCCGGAAAUGUACCCUCCGUAAAGCUCCUUCGAC